rnacentral:lncRNA from 1 species
GUACUUCAUUUUUCAUGUGGCUUGAAUAUCCAGAUGGAGUCGUCCGGUAUGUAUACCCAAUUAAUAUGUUUUUAUAUAUGGUGUCCUUGUUAUAAUCAAAAAAGAUAUGCUGGAAUGCAAUUCGAUGGUUAUUUUUCUUUUGAUUUCUUACAUCUGUAUUGCAUUAAGUCAUACACACAGUUAGUAUAAUCUUCGCAUGAGUUAGUGUGGCUUCAAUAAAAUAUUUUAGCAGUCCACAUCGUGUUGCAUAUGGGUCGUACUUUGUGACCUAUUGGUUCAUAUCAGGAGUGCAUGAAUUAUUGUUUAUGUAAUUAAGGAAAAUGCGAUGAUUCAUAUAGUUGCCUUUCUGAUUCAUUCUUUAUACUGUGAAUGAAUUUACACUCAUGUUAUUCUAGUUUUGAAUAAGUAUUUAUAGAUACGUGGUUCAUUCAUUCGCCUUGACGAUUCAUCAUGAUUUGUGAUGCCCCGCUCUUUUAAAUACAUAUUAGAUUAAAUAUGUGCAUUAGUUAUAAAAUUCUUUUAAUUAUUUAUUGUGACAUUUUGUUAAGAUAAUACUAUUCAGCAAAAGCUGACCAUGCCAUGCAGAGCUGCGAUUUAAUAUCCAGUCAUGAAUCAAACCAAUAAUUAAAUUAUUGGUUUAGCUACACGUUUGAGACUUUGCAUUACCAGUUGAUUGAUUUAAUCAAUAGUAUUAGUAAAUUUUAGUAUUUAUAACCGACUCAAAUCUGCGAUUGAAAUCGAAUUGCUAGAAUUAUAACUCGAGCUUAUGUGAAUAAUAAUUUUAUUAUUUCACGCUUUAUAUGUUUAGUACUAAGUCGCGAAUUAAUUCCGACUUUCACGUAUUAAAUCCCAAGUCCGAGGAUUUAAUUUAUACGAUGAGUAUUUAAUUAGCAAGAACUGGAGAAUUAUUGCAUCAACGAGUACGAACUAUGAGAAAUUAGAACAUGAUAAAUAGUCACAUCACAUCCUACUACACUAUUUCAUCAUCCCCUCAUUACUUCAGUCUUUUCAAAAGUUACAUAUUUUGUCCUGUAACUAUUCUUUUCAAAACUGUUAAAAAAAAAUAGAGGUAGGUAGCCACCUACCACCUCCACCAUUUGCCACCUACCACCAUGAGUGCCACCUACCACCAUGAAUUUGCCUAUAAAUACCUUCUUCCACAACAUUGCAAAGACACACCAAAAACACAACCAAAGCAUUCUCUAGUUAGAGAGAUAGAGAGAAAAAAAACUUGUGAGAGAAAACUUCAGUGUGGAAGUUAUACACGAGUGAUAUAAGUGAGUCGAGAGAUAGCCUCUGUGUAGGCAAGAUACAAAAUACAGUGUGGUAUUUUUUGUUGUACUCCUCCUUGUGAGAUUCUCUAAUAUAUUGGGGUGGGUCCGUGGACGUAGGCAAUUUGGCCGAACUACGUUAAAUAUCNUUUUUAAAUUAAACUAGACUCAAAGAGGUUUCUAUUGAUAUAAAAUUGGACUCCAUACGAGUUCGGAGUAAAAGCAGUUUAUUAGUUGAAGUUGAAUAUAUACAGUUUUGUUGAGAUGGAAAUGAUUCAAAAUAAUUCCUAUUAAGGAUUUUAAAGUUUUAUUGUUGAUAAAAUAUCACUUUUAGUUUAUAAAUGAGCUAUUGAGAUAUAUAAAUAUUUUGAGAAAGAUUUCAUGAGAACUUGUUGGUAAAAUUAUAUUAGAUGGAAUAGUUGAUAAAUGAAAUAUUAAAGAUUUAUUAAUUAAAUGGUUAAAAUAUUAAAAUUAUUAGAUAUUCUCGAAAAUUUCUUUUAUAGUUAACUCCUAUUAUUAUUUUAAAAUAUUUUUACAAAUGUUCCUAAAAUCUCACAAUGAAAUUUUCAUCAGGAAUUAAUAUUUAGAAUUUAUUAAUGACUUAUUAGUUCUUUUAAUAGUAGCAAUAUAUAUAUAUUGAUUGGCAUUAUUAAAUGGGGAAAAGGAAAUAUUUUAUAAAUUAUUCUUUAAUUUAUAAUGGAUAAAUAAAGGGAAUAAUAUAAAAAUGGGCUUUCCUACAUCCUCAAAGGUACAUGAAGUAUUUCGAUAAAAGAAGAACGAUUGUAUAUGAGUUAGAUACAGUCGUUUAAGGAAAUAUGGGUAGUUAGAGAAAAUGAGUGAAUAGUGAUUCACUGCAUUUGUUGUUAUCUUUCCUAUUAUUCACUCGAACACAUGUUUCGUGUUAUCAAAGGUUCAAAUAAACAAAAGCGCCUGAGUAACCUAUCGCGCUAAGGAAAGAGAAUCAUUGUCUUAAGUAGCAAAACACUGCAAUCAGGUAGGCAUUACUUUCAUAUAUAUCAAAUGAGUUUAACUGUUACGUUCAAGCAAGUUAUUUCAUGACAAAAUCUUUGAAUUGAAGUUAUUUCAAGUAUUGUCUUGCCAUAAAAUGUUUUAAUUUCAGUAUGAUAUCUAUCUGAUAUGGCUUUGCCAGUUAUCAUGUAAUCGAAUUCGGGUCUUGAGCAGUUGAUAGCUAUCCUGCCUUGGCUAGUGUACACCAGUGACCGUGAGUCAUCUAGCGGGUUGGCCGGUCAAGUGACCGUGAGAGGUGGCCACCUCUCCGGCACACAGCUUCAGAUAUGAUAGAUUACAAAAGAACUUAGUCUGAUCAGACGAACUUUAGAAUCACAAAUGAAUUUAGUAUGCUUAGGGCCUUUUUAAGUAAAAACCCUUGGUUAUACUAUUGAAAUGGCAUGACAAUUUACAUUUAUUAAGUAUGUAUAUGAUUUUCGGCAUAUGUCUACUGAGUACUUUGUACUCAGCCCUGCAUGUAUUUCUAAAUGUGCAGGUUGAGCAGUGAUGAGUGAUGAUGGGGUGUCGUGCGGAGCUUUGUCAUAUUUACUAAAUAAACUCUUGGCGAUACAUGUCUUCAUACAUGUAUCACGUUCUCAUUUCCGCUGCGAACACUCAGUUAUGAUGCAGUUUAUCCUAUUAUGUUGGAUUGUCAAAUCAAGUUAUUGUAUAAACACUUAAAUCGGAUACUCAUGACCGAUUACUCGCUAUUAUCUAUAUAUGUGUGACUUAUUCUCAUAUUAUAUCUUAAUCUUAAUUUAAUUCCUUUAUAAUUAUUUAUCACCCCUUUCUGUCCCCUCUCCUAAUUUCCCUUCCCUGGUCACGGUUUCCCGGCUUACCUAUCCUUAGUUAAGUUCGGUCGUGACAUGAUUAUUGCGAAUGAAUUUACACGCAUAUUAUUCCUAGCCUCAUAUUCUAUUACUCUCGCAAUUGUAUAGUUGGCGUGCGCUUUUGAAAAUUGAAUCCAGAGCUGACCAUGCCAUGCCAGGGCUGACUUUGUCGUGCCAGAUCUGACAUUCUAUGCCAGAGCUGAUAUUCUUUGCCCAACUCAGCUCUGCCGACUCUAGAUCCAGCCUUGCCAGCUCUGCCGACUCUGCUCGAGACAGCUCUACCGACUCUGCCCGACUCAGCUCUGCCGACUCUGCCAGAGACAGCUCUGCCACCGAGUUGGGCGCGCGGGCUCCUUGCGCAACCGUUUCCCUUUAUAACGACACCUAUCAAUACUGAUUCAUAUAUUUUGCAAUCGGAAAACACAUUCCAGUGUUCAUAACCAAGUCGCAUCGGAAAAAAAAUGCCGAUAACAAACGAACCACAACAUCAAUAUCUACAUACCAGCUCUCUUUGAUUUGGUAAUCGCCAUUAAAUAUGUAAGAUCCUGGGGUUUAUUUGGUAUUCGAUAGUUCUAUGUGAAUCGCCCUCUCCCUGCGCAAACCCAAGAAAAUCGUAGAAAUCUUAGUAUGAAUCGCUGCGCCACAGGAAAUGAGGAAAAUAGAUAUUUGUAAAAAAAACACUAGAACCUUAGUAUGAAUCUUAGUAUGAAACUUGUAUCGCCGCCGCAAAUGCUGAAAUAAGAGAGCUCGAAAUUAAAACCCUCC